ACUGCAGCGGGAGGUCUGACGAGUGUGUGUUUGACGUGGAGCAGUACCGCAGCACCGGCAGGGGGGGGCGCUGUGUGAGCUGCAGAGACCACACCGACGGGCCCCAUUGUGAGCGCUGCAGAGAGAACCACUACAGGAGGUCUGAUGAGGAGCCCUGCCUACCCUGCAACUGCAAUAUUAAUGGUUCACUGAGUCUGCAGUGUGAUGUAGAGGGAGGGUGUGCGUGUAAAAAUGGCGUGACAGGGGAGAAGUGUGACACAUGUCGGGCUGGCUUUCACUCGCUUGGCCCUGGUGGCUGCAGGCCCUGUGACUGUGCCUCCAGCGGCAGUGUGGGCGUCUGCUCUGCUCUGGACGGACGCUGCCACUGUAAGCCACACGUGGAGGGACAGAGCUGCGACAGAUGCAGGCCUGGCUUUUUCAACCUACAACACGUAAACACAGCAGGCUGCCAGGCGUGUUUCUGCUUCGGCCACUCGCUGGCCUGCUCCCCGUCCAAUCACUACGCUGCUGUCCACAUCACCUCUGACUUCCUU